GGCGAACGCUGGCGGCGUGCCUAAUACAUGCAAGUAGAACGCUGAAGGAGGAGCUUGCUUCUCUGGAUGAGUUGCGAACGGGUGAGUAACGCGUAGGUAACCUGCCUGGUAGCGGGGGAUAACUAUUGGAAACGAUAGCUAAUACCGCAUAAUAUUGACUAUUGCAUGAUAGUCAGUUGAAAGGUGCAACUGCACCACUACCAGAUGGACCUGCGUUGUAUUAGCUAGUUGGUGGGGUAACGGCUCACCAAGGCGACGAUACAUAGCCGACCUGAGAGGGGGAUCGGCCACACUGGGACUGAGACACGGCCCAGACUCCUACGGGAGGCAGCAGUAGGGAAUCUUCGGCAAUGGACGGAAGUCUGACCGAGCAACGCCGCGUGAGUGAAGAAGGUUUUCGGAUCGUAAAGCUCUGUUGUAAGAGAAGAACGAGUGUGAGAGUGGAAAGCUCACACUGUGACGGUAUCUUACCAGAAAGGGACGGCUAACUACGUG
rnacentral:rRNA from 1 species